rnacentral:rRNA from 1 species
UAUCUCUGUAGAGUCUGCAUAUCAAUAAGCGGAGGAAAAGAAACUAACUAGGAUUCCCUUAGUAACGGCGAGUGAAGCGGGAAGAGCUCAAAUUUGAAAUCUUCAAGGUUUUACCUUGACGAAUUGUAGUUUAAAGAAGUGUUUUCUGUUGGAGUUUCGGUAAAAGUUCUUUGGAAUAGGGACAUCAUAGAGGGUGAGAAUCCCGUAUUUGACCAUUAUUUUCAGCUUUGUGAUACACUUUCAAAGAGUCGGAUUGUUUGGGAAUGCAGUCCAAAAUGGGUGGUAAAUUUCAUCUAAAGCUAAAUACUGGCGAGAGACCGAUAGCGAACAAGUACCGUGAGGGAAAGAUGAAAAGAACUUUGAAAAGAGAGUUAAACAGUACGUGAAAUUGUCAAAAGGGAAGCGUUUGACACCAGUGUUGUUUUUCUCAAAAAUCAAUUACAAAUGGCAGUGAUUUUGUGUUGUAUUGACCUUAUCAGCUUUCUGCACUUUUUUCUAGUCUUUUCUUAAUGCACUUUUCGUUUAACAAGUCAACAUCAAUUUCUUUUGUUGUAAAAGAGGUAUUCGGAAGGUGGCUUUCUUUUCGGAGAAAGUGUUUAUAGCCCUAUAGCUUCUAGCAAUCGGAGAGAUUGAGGUCUGCAGCGUAGAUCCUUCGGGGUUAGAUACACUUGUGCUAAGUUAUAGCUUUUCAUAGACAACUUGUUGACUAUGAUUAGUCAUGUCGCUUACUCGCUUAUGCUAUUUUACCUACGCUUAGGAUGUUGAAGAUGUAGCACAUCAU